AAGUUUAAGUGCUAUUAUAUUUAGCCAACUUUAGACCUGAAAAUAAAGUUGAAUCAGACCUGGUUAUUCUUGGAUGGGAGACCUCUAAGGAAUACCAGGGCUAGAAACUUA
rnacentral:rRNA from 1 species